rnacentral:lncRNA from 1 species
AAAAGAAACAAUAUGAUCAGCUAGAAAAAACUCUACAGCUACUAUGCCACUAUACUCCCACUAUCCAUGUCAUACUCUUAAUAUAUAUAUAUAUAUAUAGCUGGCCUCCAUGCUUCCAAGUCGUUUUCAAUGUUCGGACUUUCGAAUCGACGAUCGGCUCCGUUAGAGUUGAUCUAGAGUAUUUGAAGUACUUAGAAAAUAAAUUUUGCGAUUUUUCAAUAUCAUUUGCCUAGUGAUCGAAGGGGCUCAAAAUCAAUAAUUUUAACGGCCGUGGUGAACCGGUUGCAAGUUUAACGAUAUAGAAAUAUCCAAAUCACAUGAAAUUUUGAUAGAAAAUUCUUUAUACCAUAUAAAACAAGAUCAAUAACUUUGAUCUAAAAUUUUAAUGUCAUAUCAUCAUAUUUUGUAAGAUUUUUAUUUUCAGCCGUUGAUUUUGAGCCACUUCGAUCACUAGGCAAAUGAUAUCGAAAAAUCGCAAAAUUUAUUUUCUAGAUACUUCAAAUACUCUAGAUCAAGUCUAACGGAGCCGAUCGUCGAUUCGAAAGUCCGAACAUCGAAAACAAAGUGGAAGCACGGAGCCCUCCGUGCUUCCAUAAACAUCCUAGCCGCACUAUAUAUAUAUAUAUAUAUAUAGAAUUAGGCUGGAAUACUAAUAAUAGUAAAAACAAGUUUUUAACCCUUGGAUGAAAAAUUGUAGGGUCAUGAUGAUAUUAGUCGGUUAGAGUUGAGUGGUCCCCUUAGGGUUGAAUGGCCCCCACUGGGUUAUAGUAUUUAAUCCAAUGGUUAGAAAUAAUAAAAAGAGUUGAUCCAAAGGCUAAAAAACUGGUAGCAACAAUGGGAUUUUGCUACUAAUAGUAGCCCAGUCCAACAAUAUAUAUAUAUAUAUAUAUAUAUAUAUAUAUAUAUAUUAUGCAAGUAACCCUAUAAUCAAUGUCCAAAACUAUAAAACCAUCUAAGAUAAAACCUCUGACAUAAUACAUAGUGUCAAAAUGAAUUUUAGCUAUAUCAUUUUCAAAACUAAAAGAAACGCCUAACUUGAGCAUAACAAUAACAGAAAACAAAUUCCGCCGAAUUUCUAAAGCAUAAAGUCUAUCAUGAAGGUCCAAAGUUCGACCACAAUGCAUGAUCAACUUUCACAUGCUAAUGCCUAAUACAUCGACACUCGAAUCGUUCUCCAUGCAUACUCUUCUGCUCCAUCAAGUACACAACGGCACUCGACGAGUCUCAUCCGAUCUCUCGCUACGUGAUCUGUUCUUCUGAGUCUACAAUCUACAUAGGACAGUUCAGCAACAAAUAUGUUAGAAGAAAUAAAAGAAUGAGAAUCAGGAUAAAGGAGUACCUUCUUCCGAGCGAAGCAUCCUGGCUGGUUACAAUUGAAAUAGGUCAUAUUUGAUUUAUCCUUCUUACCACCUCGUUUACUUCUUUUUCUUUUGGUGUUCUUCACCUUCUUAGCCGUAGGUUCGAUAUUGCUUUGAGGCUCAGUAAUCCUCUUUUGCUUAAAGCUGGGUGUUUUGCAAAAAUUUAACUUAGUAGUAUUGGCAAUUGAGGUUUUAAUAGUCUUAAGGUGCUUCUUUUCCAACUCUAUCGUACAACAUUCUCAAAGGUUUUAACGUUUUUAUUGUAUGUCAAAUUGACUUGUAUAUGUUCCCACAAAUUUGGAAAAGGAGCAAAUCAUAGUUAGACAUGCUGCUCAUCAGUCAAAGUGUCGCCAGCCGACUUUAACUCGGGAAUCAUAUUUGAUAUUAUUCUCAUGUGCUGUUUCAUGAUCUGAUUGGCACGCUUCUUAUAACUAUCAAACUGCAUAGUCAUGCUGCACAUCUUGUAGCCAAAGUCGCAUCAAAUUUAAUGUUUAGAGCCUUCUACAUGUCAAAAGCAGUUGGAUACUGCUAAUAUUCGCAUAAGAGAUCAUUCUGCAUGUUACUCAGUAACAUGAUGCAAGCGAUGAGAUCCUUUUUGAGCCAAUUAGUAUAGGCUUCCAUAUCUCAGCGAACCUGAAUACUAUUGCCCUCUGUGGGUUGGUCCAUCUUAUUACUCAAGCUUCCUAGAACUUCUUGCUCAGCGAGGACACAUUAAAUUUUACGGUGUCAAAUAUCAUAAUUGUCAUUGUCCAAUUUCUCUUCUAUAAUCAGAUCAACAACUACUUAUUUUGAGCUCAUAUUAUCGGAAUAAGUUCACACUGUGUGUAGAAAAAGAUAUACAAAAAUUAGCACACAAUACAUAUAUUAUAUGUUGUCGCAUCUCUAAUUAAACAAAUUGAAAAAGAUCAUAUUUAUGUAAAGAAAACUUUCGCUAUGCUAAUAAUCACUCACACGUCCUACGGCUAAUUUUUACUUAUUUAAUUGAGUUGUACAAAACUAUAGCAUUUGGGAAUAAAGUAUAUGAUCACUCUACCACAAUAAAAACUUUUAUUUGACUAAGCAUACAUAAAAAAUUUAUACAAUGCCAAAAAGCUUUAUCCAAAAAUCAUAAGAUAAAAUUUUUUAAAAAUUUAAAUGCAUGCAACACGUACUAUCUAGGCAUAAUAAAUCAUCUAAUGUGCAUUUAAAAUAAUAAUAAAUUUCAAAAAUAAUUAUUUAUUUAUUUUAUUUAUUUUGGUACGUCGCCCGAGCAGGUGGGCCCGACCCAACAUGGGCCUACAUGGCCUGUGCAACGCGGUUGAGCCGCAUGGUUCUAUCCCCACGGGAAGAAACUAUCUUUAAUUUUUUAAUCAAGAAAAAAUAAUAUAUCUAUAACCUUUAGGGCCCGUUUGGUUCGAGUUAUGUAAUAUUACAAAGUAUCUCAACAUAUCCAGGUAUCUUGAAUUUCGACGUGAGAUUACUACUGAUGCUACAUUAGCGCGUUUGGUUUAAUACAGUAAUAUAAUACUAGAUUACAAUGUUUAUAGCAUUAAUACGUUUGGUUCAAUUUAUAAAAUUUAGUAAUCCUAACAUAAAAGUAUAGUUUUUUUCAAAAUUGUCCUUAUUGUGGUCAUUUGAAUAUUAUUUUUUGCGAAAUGACAAAUAGAGGGAAGACCUGGGAGGACGACGCAAUAGAAGAUGAUAGGUGUUCGUGCGCUCGCGCAAGAGAGAGAGAGACGUGAGAGAGAGAGAGCGAGAGAAAGCGGCGUGCGAGAGAGAGGCGAGGGAAGGCGAGAGAGAGAUAAAAAUAAUGCUGUUAAUUAGAUUUAGGAUUGUUGGAGAGUAAAAUUGUCAUUUUACAUAAUAUGUAGUAUUAACGGAUUUCAGUAAUGCAAGAUACACGACCCCCCUCCCGUUAAUAUUUUCGAUGUAAUCCUGCUCGAUUUGUAAUGCUAUAUUAACGACUAGAUUAUAUAGCGGAUUAACCAAACACAGUUAUCCUGCCAAGAUUGCCUGUAAUCCUGCCAGGAUAACUCGAACCAAACGCACCCUUAAUUCACAGGCUCAAAAUAUGCAUGUAAUAUAUGAAUAGAAAAUUUAUAAAGAGUUCUACUAAAUUAUGCAAGUUUCAUAGUGAAAUAUAUACUACACAUCAAACAAAUUACCCACAAAAUUUCUAUCUAGGAUUUCGUUCUUCUCAUAAAAUAUAAAACCGAAUCAAAUUAAAUUUUGUAGGUUUAAUUUACAACAUAAGUGCUAUAAGAUGUGUAAAAAUUAUGCACUUAUAUUCAUCCUAGAAAAAUUCGUCGUUAGCAACUACAAGCAUGUAAGAAAAAAAUAUCUAAACAAUAACAACUUUAUAUAUAUCUACGCAUGCCUUGUUAAAAAUUUAUUGAGGGUACGGAAUCAACCUAAUAAUUCUCUUAUAUAAUUUAAAACCCAUCAAAAAUAUUUAUUCGUACCUUUUUCAAAAUCGACUAGUAUUAAAAAUGUAAUAAGUUUUGGAUCAUAGAGGUUAAUUCGCGUAUUCUCGGAUUAUCUAUAAAGAUCUUCUAACACUCCCAAGCUAGUGGUAGAUCGAGCUAUGAACAAGUUAGGUCUAUAAUUUACCAUUCAAGACCCUCCAGAAGCAGGAGAUUAAUGGAGAAUGUGAUUUUUCUCUCUCACAAGAUAGCUCACAAAUUUCUCACCAAUUUAUAAGUAUUUUUUCUAUUUUUAAUUUCUUGUGCAUCUUUAUAAGAGAAUCAUCAGUAUAUUUAUAGGAAUCCCAACACCCUAAUAGAUAGGUAGAAAGUUAGACCGAAUCAAUUUAUGAUAGCUGUCCUAAUAUGACUAAAUGAUAUCUCUAAAUAGCUUUCAAAAUUAAAAGCGAGAUUAAGUCUAGUCUGAUUAGACAAUCUAAUAACCCUCGAAUCGAGUCCGAUCAUAUGCAUCCGAUUCGGUUUAACCAAAUGCCAACAUCUACAAAUCGCACAUAUGGUACAAUAGUUUAAAUUCUAAACAGGUGAGCGGUUUUAUGGUAUAUGCUAAUAUUACUUUAUUUGUGUUUUAGAGAACCGCACUCUUUUCAUAAUCAAAGACUUACGAAUCCACACACAUAGUAGGUCCUCAAAAGAGUAUUUGUAAGGUUACCUACACCCUACCUCACGGGUGUCGAAAGCAUUUAGGGUCAAUGUCCUUCCUAUCCACUUGCAAUAUGAGCACUGUCGCCAUAGGAUGCAUGCUGUAAAAUUUUUGUUCCCAGCAACAUUAUUCUUUUUUAUUUCUAAAAUUAUCAAGAAGCUUACCAGAAAUAUGAAAAUCCUCGUAGAACGAGGAUCAUUAAACGCUAUUUGACUUUUAUUAUGAAAAUAUUUUGAAAGCUUGAAAGAAUUUUAGCAUGCGAAUUCCAUCAUCGGCAUUUAGCUUAUCAUUAACGAUAAGAUUACCUAGUUUGUUCUGUUCUCCUUUUAGACUCUUGAUUUAUGCAUUACUUAUAUGCACAUUAAAUUCAAGCUAUUUUAGUACAUUCAGCGCGCACAAUUAAAGAAGGACAUAAAAUAGUAAGAAAGUUAAUUGAUUAAUUUCUCCUUCGAAACUGAUAUUGUCAAAGCUAGCUAGUAUUGAUAUUAAUGUCGGAGCACAUGUAUAAUAUUUGUCUAAUAGCUUUGGCAAUGUUCUCCAAUCCCCCACCUCCUCUCUUCGACACCGUCUCCAAGUUAUCAUGCAUAUAUGUACAAAACCUAUGAUAUAAGUAGUCUAAAAUUCAAAAUAAAAUUAACCUCCUUAAAAUAUAUGGGCAUGCACUAUAAUUAAUUACCCUCUUCCGUAAUGAAAACAUGCAUAAUCAAUAACCUCUCGAUCGUACGUGUUCUUCGAGUCAACAAGAUUAAUUUGUUCUCCAACUCAAUCCUAGCUACCCGGCUUCGCUCGCCCGCUGGAGAAACUCCUCAAUCAACGCCUUCCGGGCCGACACUACACCGACGGGGACGAACGAUCGGCCGAAAGCCGAGCAAUCGGCCCAGUCCUUGAGCCUGCCCUCCUCUCCCCACGCGUCGGGUAUGCGGACUUGUCCCGCCACCUCAAGACGCAGCUUCUUCAGCCUCUCGCGACCGCCGCUGCCGCUGCCGUCUUCGUGACGCAUGCCCGUAGAUGCUGCUUGAUUGGGCUUGCCGUGUGGAUCGAGAGGACGAAGCAUCUCUCUAUUUAGUAGUGCCCAGUGCUACGUACGUACUGUUAAUUAUAACCUCUUAUUUUCACAUCGAGAGAUUAAUCAGAGACCACGCACGUAGUUGUGGUGUAUUUAAAGAUGACUGGGGAUGUUUAGAGCCAUUUAUUUCAUAUGGUUGGCGGAGGGAGCACUUGUAUGAAUAUCUCACCUUGUUGUGGUUGAGAACGGAACCGGGAACCGGGGGAAUAUGUGCGCAACAGGACACUGGGUUUUGUUGGGGGGCCAAUAGGAUUAGAGAAAUUGAUAUGCUUGUGUGGCGCUAGCUAGACACCUUGGGAAGGUUUCAUUUAGUUGCAAACUUCGUUUGAAAAUUACAUCCACUAAUUAUUAAUGUAGCUUUUCAUUCAUUUAUUCGAAUUUCGAAGAGAUGAGAUGAAUUUAUUCUGUGUGUCAUUGUAUUGGGCAAUUAAAUUUUUCUGGUUUAUCCUUAGUCAAGUUCAGGUGCAGGCUCCAUCCCCAAGUUGGAAGGGAUAUUUGUAUCCUAGAAUAAUGACUCUGCUUUUCGUAUUUAAAAACUCAUAUUUACAUAUUAGCAAUUAAUGAGUUUCGAAACAAAGAAAACUGAAAAAAAAAAAAAAAGAAUUAGGAUUUCAUUCAAAUCAGGAACCAACGUAGUCAAACAAGGUUUUAAGUACCUAUUCUUAUCAGCCUGGUAUUUUACUCUUAAGCAGGUAGGUUGAGAUACUUUCACAUCUUAUAUACACUAGUGUAGGCCCGCGCUUCGCGGCGGAAAAUUUAUGCAAUUUAUUUAAAAUUAAAAAUUUUUAACGCCCUUUUGUUUAAAUCCUAAAAUUUGAAAUUAACAUUUUGAACAUUUAAAUUUUAAAAAAUAUAUUUUAUCUUAAUUCAAUUUGUUAAUUUUGAAUAUAUGAUUUUAGUUAGAGUUUUGUUGAUUCCUAAUCUUUCUAAUUCUAAACUUUUAUAUGCAUCGAAUAACUCGCUGUAAUUUUGAAUUUUGAGGAAUUUAGCUAGAUAAUUUGACAUUCCAUGAUAUAUUUAGUAAAUUAAUAUAUAUAAUAAUGUUUAAAAUUUUAAACUUUAUAAUUUGAAUAUAAAAUUUAAAAUCUACAACCCAGAAAUUAAAAUGUAAAAUUUAAAACAGGAAAAUUUUAAAAUUUAGUUUUAGUAAUUAAGGAAAAAUAUACAAUUAUAAAUUUUAAAUUUUAAAUUUUAAAUUUCAAAAGCUAAUAUUUUAAAUAUUAAAUUAUAAAUUAAAUUUAAAAAAUUCAAUUGUUAAAUUUUAAAUGGUGAAAUUUCAAUAACAAUUGUUAAAAUUUAAAAUUUAAGUUUCGAUAGUUUAUAGUAGCCGCAAUUUUGCAAAAGGUAUAACUAAAAAUCCAUCAAAAGCUAAUAGUAAGAACGAAAUAUCAGUAGUUGCAUAACAACAAUAUGAUAUAUAUAUCAGAAGUACUUGAUUCAGUGGUACCUUGUAAUAUGAAACCAGCAAAUCAACCUACAUGAAAAAGUUCUAAUUUACAUCAUAAAACUGGAAUAGAACUAUCAUAAGAAUUGCUUUAGAUAUUUAUACAUAAUUUAGAUCGGUUACAGACAUUUACUUACAUAUUCACCACUUGCAUUCAUAAAAGUUUGAGGUUUGGCAAGCAUGACGGGAGAAUCACCAAUAAGGCCUGCAUAAAAAUCGCAAAAAUUUUAAAUAUAUUUUUCCAAAAAAAAUAAAAUGUAAAAUUGAGUGGACAAUUCAAAUAUAAAACUAAAUUUUGAUUUGAUUCAAAUUUAAACUUAUAAGCAAUUCAAAAUUUUAAUUUAUAUAUCAAAUUCAGAAUGCUUGAUUGAAUUUAUAUUUUAAUUUCAUUUCUAAUUCAAAAUCUAUAAUUACAAAUUAAAUAUCUAAAUUUAAAUACCUUAAAUUAAAGUCAAAAUUAAAUUAAAAUUAAAAAAAACUCUAAAAUCCUCUUCUCUAUAUGUAAAGAGAGAGAAGGGGAAAAAAAAAUAUCUCCGCCAAACUCCUUCCCCCACGCUCCUGCGCGCACGCCGCGUCCGCACCUGCCCCGCGCCCGCGCCUACUCCCGCUCCUGCUCGCUCGCGCCUGCUCCCGCUCGGGUGUGACCGCGCCUACAUAACGUAAAUAAUCAAGAUUGUAAUUCAAAAAAAGCAAAUAGAUUAAUGGUAAUCUACUGUUCGCCAAACUAUGUUGUGUCAUUGCUGCGUUUUUUUCCCCUGCACACUUUCUCUCCUUGCGGUUUCCUGCUGUUCCUGCUACUACUCUAUGCUUAUGGACAGUUUUGCCUAUCCUCAACUGCCUCCUCCUCUUUUCCCAUACACGGUUAUAAUAUGAUUCAUACUAUUGUUUGCUAUGAUUCUUCCUUAAUUAGUUUAUGAAAUACAACCUUUCUUUGACAAAGUUGGAAAAAAUAUAUAAAAUCCUACUAAAAGGGGGGGGAAAAAGUUUUGGCUAUGCUAUAAAAAGAAUGAAGAUGCUUUUACUAUCGGAGUGAGCAUUUGACCAAGUUUUUUUUUGUCUUAAAUUUUCAAGUAUGUAUAUCGUUACUUCUAAUUUACUGUGUUUACUUCUUGGCUUUUAUCAUUAAAUUUCCAAACAUAUGUAUCAUUACUUAUAAUUUUGAAACAUGUGUACUGUUUAUGUGUGUGUGCGCGCGCGCGCGCAUACAUAUAUAUAAAUAUAUGAUCAUGAAAGUAACUAAUUAGAUUCUAAGGUUCCCAAUUAUGAAAACGAAAACAGAUUCAUUCAUAUGAACAACAUUUUCUCCUUUCACAAAAGAAUCCAUAGGUGGGCCCGCCAAGAACAUUAAUAUUAAAGCCCCCAAACAUGCCCAAACUCUAAUUUUUUAGGGUGAGAAUAGCUAUUCCUAAUUCUCACCAUGCUAUAUCAACCAUCUUCCUCUCUCUCCCGCCUUUUAUAAUAAAUUUUCAAUUUUCAAUUUAAAUUUUACAAUUUGAAUAUUUAAAACUUAAAUAUUUAUAAUUUAUUAUUUCAAAACUAAAAUUAUAAUUUUAAAUUUUAAUUUGAUAUUUUUAAAUUUAAAUUUGAUGUUAAAUUCUAAAUUUCAACUUUUAAAUUCCAAAAUUAAAUUUAAAAUUUAAACUUAUCAUGAAAAAUCCAAAAUUGGGUAUAUAUAUCUAUAGUGCUACCAAGUUUUUGGCCAUUGGAUUACGAGAUGUGCGGUUAGGAUAUUAUGGCCCCCCUAGGGUUGAGUGGAUGAUUGAUUGAAUAGUAUGAUCUAACAGGUGAAAAUGAUCAAAAGGGUAGAUCUAACAGCGGAAAACUUGGUAGCACCAAAGUGCUUCGUGCUAUUAAUAACAUAAUAGCCGGACUCUAUAUAUAUAUAUAUAUAUUAAUUUAAGAGCUGAAGCGGUUAGUGUCUAACUAAAUAAGUCAAUUAUAAUAUUAAUUAGCAAUAUUAUACAUUUAUCAGAAACUAAUUAAUAAAAAAUUAGAAAAAAUUNCUAUCAUCAUCACCUAGAAAAUACAAUAGAGAAAUUAGUAUUAAUCACAAAUAUAUUCUGCUAUUCUUCUUAAUUCUAACAUAAUGUCUCGGAAAAGAAAAAAGGAAAAUUUAAGCAGUCUUCACGGGAAAACUAAAAAGGUAAGGCUCAGUUAAGUCGGCAAAAUUCUCGUAAGCAUAGGAUAGUAAUAGGAGCAAGCAAUAGAUUACCGUAGGAGGAACAUGUGUGCAACGACCAAGGAAAAGAACAAUAGGAAGUGGUUGCCUAUGAAUAGGCCGUCCAAACUUCCGCCUGUUCGAAGCCAUCAUUUUCCACGUUUUCCUCUACUUAUCAUUAUCNUUCUCUCUCUCUCUCUCUCUGGCCCGCGCGCAGGCCCCCACGCCUCUCUCUCUCUUUCUGUCUCUUUCUCUCUUCCUCUCUUUCUCUCGAGCGCCGAGAAUUGGCCACGUAGGCCAAGCUUAUGGGCACCAAGCAGGCAACAUGUGGCGCCGGCGAGGAGAAGGACGACGAUGGCCAUGGGUAUGCUAGGGUAGGCGAGUACGGCGCACGCGCGGAGGCGUACCGCGACGGCCACCGCAGAGAGAGGAGUUGGGACACGGUGCACACCGGAAAAGCUAGGGCUCCUGCCACACCGUGCGCCCGCGCGUACGGGUAGGGAGCAACGCCCCACAUCCCGCGGCGUCAGGAGACAGGGUCCGGGAGACGCGGGUAGGGCGACACGCACCCCUCCCGAGCACCCACGCAACGCAGGGCGAGCGCGGAGCACCCACGCAACGCGGGGCAAGCGGGGGGCGCCGAGAAAGCGCCACGUAGGCCACAGUAAAACUGAGCCUUUAAUAUAUGUAUUGAUUAGUGCAUUACGUACGGCUCCUUUCGCAGGUACUCAAUUAUUAAUAGAGCUCCAACUCUCUCGGCUCAUGUUGCUGCCCCCGUACAGAAUUAGCAUAGAUCUAAUUAGAGAUGCGGCGUCAUUAGAGCUUGCCUCUAAUUAGAGCACGGCAGGUCACCAACAACUUAAUUAAUUUUGCAUGGCUCUUAAUUUGGUCGCGGCUUUAUUAAUUUGGUCGUAUCAUGUAUAUAUAAUAUAUAUCUCCUAACUAGAGUCUAAUUCUAAUUCAAUUAAAAUUAUACUCCUAAUUAUAAUCCAUAUAUGCCAAAUUAAAUAUAAUCUCAAUUAGAUCAGAAUUUAACUCCAAUUUAACUAACUACAAAUCUAAACAAAACAUAACACGUAAAAAGGUUAAAAAUCAAUGUUGUAUUAAUCCUCAAGAAAGAAAGGGUUACAAACAUUUUAUAUUUAUAUUCCCUAAAAAUGACUGGUCAAAGAACUUUAUGACCUAAGGCAAAAACUUUUUCCUUCAAAAAGACACCAACGCUUCGCCAUGCAUGUUGGCAUCCACGUGUAGUUUUCGUCUAACUGUAACGGAAAUAUAGACGGCAGGAUUCAGAACAAAGGUUGGAGACCUAAUUUAAAACUCGAAAAAAGGUUGGAAUCUAAUGGUGUAAUUUACCCACAUAAAAUGCUAGACAACUAUCUCUAUACAGCAAAUUUUAUAUAUUUCUGACUCUUGUAGCUCUACCACAAAAUAAAUUAAUUACAAACAUAGAUAAAAACUGCAAACUCCGAGCAAUUUACAGCAACAACAACAAGACAACACAAAACAACCCAACAACUCCCCUAGCUCAUUUGUGUUAUAUACAUGUACAAACCACAUCAACCCUUACUUCUCAUCCUAUAUAUAUAUACACACACACACACAAGGUUCAUGAGGUCUGAUAUAUACUCAAUCACAUGAGGGCGCAGGCGUUGGGGUUCUCGUCGCUAAAAGCGGAGACGUACUUCUCCUCGAGGGAGGAGGCGCGGGCGAGGGGGGCGGCGUCGGGGUCGACGAGGGCGACACCGCGGACGUAGCCGGGCGGGGCCUUCUUGUCGUAGACGCCGGGGGCGUAAGGGUGGGGCACCAUCUCGUACGGCACGUACGGCCACGGCUCCACCUUCUUCCCCGUCCGCUGCGCCAGCCGCUCCAUCACCUUCCGCGCCUCCACGUACCCCGUCACCGUCACCUUGUUCUGCUUCGCGUUCACCUCCACGCUUGUCACCCCUGCAUGCAUGUAACACACACGCGCGUCUAACAUUUUUAUAAUAAAUAUAUAGUUACUUUUUUUUUUUUUUUCAUAAUUGUAUAUAGAUUUUAAAUUGAGUGAUUUGCAUGUACUCCUCCUGUACUUGAUGAACGUAUAACAUUAAUUAAAACUUCUCUGAUUAUUUAAGCUUCUGAAAGAAAAUAAAAACGACUGUUAGUUUAUAUUAUUUAACACAGAGUAUAAUCAAAGCACAAGUUUAUUAUAUAUGAGUUUGAAUUCCCUCAAGACUUCUAAUCUUCUUUAAUUUCUUUCUUGUUUAGUAAAGUCUAUAUUUUACACUUAUCACAAAUAUUUCGAGCCCAAAUAUUAGAGAAAAAUUAAGUUGAAUAUAAUAUUAGACACUAUUAAUUAUACUAGCAACUAACUUGUGCGAUGCACGGAUUUUAAUUUUAUUUUUUUGUUUAUAACUUUUAUAUAAUAUAUAUUAAUUUAUACAAAUUAAUUAAGAUUUUAUUUGAAAAAGUAUUGAAUCAAAUUAAAAUAAUACUAUCAUGAUAUGCUAAUAGAAUGUAAGUAAAUAAUUUAUAAUUAUAAAGUCAUAAAGUUAAUAAUUUAAUUUUUAAGGGCACAACCUUGCAUAAUAUAUUUUAGUUUUUAUAUUUAUUUAAAUUUCUUACUAUUUUUACCAAAUUUAGAGCUAAUAGCACUUUUUCACAUGAAAGAAGAAAAUGAAAAUUUGAAAUAGAAAGGAGUAAAAUAUUAAGCAAAUAAAUUCUUACUACAAUUAGUAUUGUAAAUUUAGAAAUUGAACAACUAAAUUAAAUUAAAACUAAAGAACAAUUUUAAAUUUCUUUCUAAAUGCAGUUUAAAUUGCAUAAUAGAUUAAAUUUUUAUUGUAUGCUACUAAUUUUAGAGCUAAUUCUGCCAAGAAGUAAAGAAAUUAAGCAAAUUAAUUCUGACUGUAAUUGGGAUCAUAAUUUAAUUUUUUUUUAUGUGGUUCAUAAACAGAUAUUUUUAUAAUCCUCCAUCCUCCAUGGGAAUUAAUUUAAAUAAAAGUAAUAUAAAUUACGUGAUCAACAAAUUUAAAUUGAAGAAAUUUAAGAGUGAAAAGCAAAUUUAUAAUCCUUGAUUUUAAACUGAAGUAAUUAAACUGAUUUAAAUUGAAGAAAUUUAAAAGUGAAAAGCAAAUUUAUAAUCCUUGAUUUUAAACUGAAGUAAUUAAACUGAUUUAAAUUGAAGAAAUUUAAAAGUGAAAAGCAAAUUUAUAAUCCUUGAUUUUAAACUGAAGUAAUUUAAAUUAUACGAAGAAUUAAUUUAAAUUGAAAAAAAUUGAAAUUGAAGAACUAAUUUAUUGCAUAUUGUAAUUAUUGAUCAUAAAUAAGAUGAUUAUUAUAACAUGAGUUGAACGGCGCUUCUUGGCAGUAUGUGGUGCAACGGUAACCUAUGCUUUCAAAAUACUAUAUAUAUAUAUAUAUAUAUAUAUAUAUAUAUAUAUAAUUCACUGCUAGCUUAAGUUUGACCCAAGUUAUGCUUUAGUGAUCGACAAUUAUUAAUUUGAAUAUAUUCCACCAGUUCCCUAUAUAUUCUAAAAAUGAAAUUAUAUAUUGUCAACGUCAAAUUAUUUAUACAUCUAUAAAUAUCCGUGUAUCUAUUCUUUGACUCACGAUUUCACCAAGGUAUGUUACCACUAUCUCCUGAAUAAAAGUGCUACCUAAAAGAUAGGGUUUUGAGCUAGGCACGUAAGCUUCAUAAAAUGAAAGGUUCAAAUAGACUCUUAAUUUGGGAAGAGUCUUGGGGUCAGAGAGACUUAAUGAGGAACUUCAAACAAAAUUAAAAGAAAAGGAAAUUAAGAAGAGAAAAUUUUAAUCCUUUCCAUUUCCAUCCCGUAGAGACUGGAAAAAGAUAAAAUCAAUUAAUGGAUGCUCUAAAUGCAGAAACUAAUUAAUUAAUAGCAAUAAUUAAUUCCUCAACACUGACUAAUUAAGAACAUGAACCAAAAUAAAAAUAUAUAUAUAUACUUCAAAUUAAAAAGAUGUUGACCGUAGGCCAGUUCAAGACUUCACGGAAAACUUGACCCCCUAGGGCUCAACUCGAAGACCACUUAAUUAGUAUUUCAGCCAAAACUUCUUUUUAUAUGAUCGAAAUCUCUCAAAGAGAGUAGUAUAUAUAUACCUUUCAUGGCUUUCAAAGCGUUCUUGAUCUUCCGCUGACAACCUUGGCAGUCUAUUCGGACCUUCAUCGCCACCGUCUGAGAAGAUCAAUACGAGAGUAGUACUGGGUCAAUGCAUGGUGUCAAUAAUUAGCUAUACAUAUAUAGUCUAUCAGAAGAUAAUUAAGCACACGUACGUACCAACAGGCUGCAGUUUGCCUGCAGCCUGGCGGCCUAAGCAUGCAUGGACAGCAUUUAUUUUUCAUGAACUGAUCAUCAUCAUGCACGUAUGCAAAAAUUAAUUGGAUGUCUCACAUAUGCACUGAAUUGAAUGAAUUAGCGCCGAAUGUAUAUAUAUGAUGAUGAUGAUGAUGAUGAUGAUGAUGAUGAUGAUGAUGAUGGGCUUAAUUCUGUGCGUGUAUACGUACCUGCAACUGCUUGGGUUUCCUACGCUUCUUUAUGCGGCUGAUGGGGCCUUCGCACAGCUCUGACAAGUAGUCGAUCACGCCCUCCAUCACACCCAUCUUCCUAGCUAAUCACUUUCCCGGCCGUCCGUCCGUCCGUCCUUCUUCUCCCCUCAACUAAUUUAUAUUUAUAUAAUACAUAAUAUAUAUAUAUAAGCUUGAGCUGCAGUUAUUUAUCUACGGUUGUGGGUGAAAUUAUCCCGGAGGUGAUUAUUAAUUCGCUUCUGCUUUCGUGGGGAAGCCGGAAAACGACGAGGGGAAGAAAAAAGUGCGUUUCCGGAGAGUGAGGCUCCAGACGCUUCUCGACCAUACCUCGAUCGUACGUGUGGGCGGUGCCACGCGCGACAGACCUAUUACUCUCGUAUCUUCCCCAUUUCCCUGUCGGGGGUCGCCACGUGUUCGGACUUCGGAACCAUGUGGGACUGGAAGGUAUUGCUGCCACGUGGCGUUUUGGCAUGACGUGGCGUAUUCGGGCUCGUGCCACAGCGUUAUCGAGAUGCGGGAGUUUGGGUUUUAAUUAUAUUUUGUCUCUCUUUGUUUGUUUCUUUUUUAUCCUUACUUUGUUCCGGCAUCCGAAGAUCGUAAUUAAUGUAGAACUAGUUAAGGGCCGCGCCAUAUUAUAAUACUAAUUUAUUAUUAUUAUUUUAUAUAUAUAUAUAUAUAUAUAUAUAUAUAUAUAUAUAUAUAUAUAUAUANAAUUAUGCUACUAUACUAUCAACAGUACCAAGCCCUUGGUACUAUUGAGUUUUCGGCCGUUGGAUGAAAGGAUGUGCGGUUAGGAUAAUAGUGGUCCUCGGUUAAAUUGAUAGUGGUCCCCUAGGGUUGAGUGGGUGGUUGGUUUAAUAGUAUAAUCUAACGGAUGUAAAUGAUCAAAGGGUAGAUCAAACGGUAGAAAACUCAAUAGUACCAAGAACUUGCUACUAUCGAUAGUAUAGUAGCCGGACUCUAUAUAUAUAUAGUUCCGCUACUAUGCUAUUAAUAGCACGAAACACUUGGUGCUAUCAAGUUUUCCGCCGUUAGAUCUACCUUUUUGAUCAUUUUCACCCGUUAGAUUAUACAAUUCAACCAACCACCCACUCAACCCUAGGGGGUCCACAUCAUACUAACCGUACAUCUCUUAAUCCAAUGGCCAAAAACUUGGUAGCACCAAUGACUUGGUGCUAUUAAUAGUAUACUAGCAUAGUUAUAUAUAUAUAUAUAUAUGUCCGGCUACGGUGCUUGUAAAAGCACCAAGUAUUUGGUGCUUGUAAAUUUUUUACCGUUAGAUCUACAUCUCUAAUCAUUUUUAACCAUUAGAUGAUACUAUUCAACCAACCACCCACUCAACCAUAGGGGGCCCACAUCAUCCUAACCGCACAUCCCUUAAUUCAAGGGCUAAAAAUCUACAAGCACUAAUAACUUAGUACUUUUAAAAGCAUAGGAGCUCAAUUCUAUAUAUAUAUAUAUAUAUAUAUAUAUAUAUAUAUAUAUAUAUAUAUAUAUAUAUAUAUCUAUAAANNNNNNNNNNNNNNNNNNNNNNNNNNNNNNNNNNNNNNNNNNNNNNNNNNNNNNNNNNNNNNNNNNNNNNNNNNNNNNNNNNNNNNNNNNNNNNNNNNNNNNNNNNNNNNNNNNNNNNNNNNNNNNNNNNNNNNNNNNNNNNNNNNNNNNNNNNNNNNNNNNNNNNNNNNNNNNNNNNNNNNNNNNNNNNNNNNNNNNNNNNNNNNNNNNNNNNNNNNNNNNNNNNNNNNNNNNNNNNNNNNNNNNNNNNNNNNNNNNNNNNNNNNNNNNNNNNNNNNNNNNNNNNNNNNNNNNNNNNNNNNNNNNNNNNNNNNNNNNNNNNNNNNNNNNNNNNNNNNNNNNNNNNNNNNNNNNNNNNNNNNNNNNNNNNNNNNNNNNNNNNNNNNNNNNNNNNNNNNNNNNNNNNNNNNNNNNNNNNNNNNNNNNNNNNNNNNNNNNNNNNNNNNNNNNNNNNNNNNNNNNNNNNNAAAAAGAUUAUGGAGUAAAAUAAAAAAUAGUGAAAAGGUUGGGACCAAUGUGCGAUUAAAUCUUAAAAAAAUUACAUGUGGGCUCCACAACCCCUUAAAAUAAAGAGAGACUUUAUUUUAAGAUUAAUUUUAAGAUUAAUUUCGGGUUUAAUUUAAAAUUUAAAUUCUUAUUUUUGGAGACUUAAGCAAAAAAUAAAGUUUACGGACUAAAAUUGACGUGCAAAAGAAAGUUAAAUAAGCAAUGGCAUGAUAAUAUGGUUACUUUUAAAACCUCUUUUAACAGUGCCAUUUUAUUGCAAUGAAAUCAAAAGAUUCAAAAUUUUAAUUGCAAAAAAAAAAAAGAAAAAAAGAUUGAGGGCCAAAAUAAAAAAAAAAUAAAAAAGUUGGAGCCAAUAUGUGAUUAUAUCGUAAAAAAAAAAAGGGGACUAAAAUUGACAUGCAAAAGAAAGCUAAAUAGGCGAUGGCUUGAUAAUAUCAUUAAUUCUAAAAUCUCUUUUAACAGUAACAUUUUAUUGUGAUGAAAUCAAGAAUUCGAAAAUUUGAUUGCAAAAAAAAAAAGUGAGGACCAAAAUAAAAAAUAGUGAAAAUGUUAGGACCAAUAUGCAAUUAAUUAGUAAAAAAAAUUGCAUAUGGGCCCCGCGCAACUCCCCCCAGAAUAUGAGGAUAAAUUGAUACACUUUAAAACAUAGGGUACUAAAUUGAUACAUUUUAAACCACACGGUACAAAAAUGAAAAAGUGCGAAACCACAAGGAUUUAACAGUUGGGAUAUAAUUGCAAUAAAAUCAAGAAAAAGUUCAAGCAACCCUUCAUACAAACUCGGUGUUAUAGGCCUAAAAAAUUUCAAAGUACUUUUCAGCUCUUGUCCUCUAAUAAUACAAAAAUUAUUUAAGGGCUGAGCGAUACAGCGAAAAAAUAUUAUUAUAGUAAAUUAUUAUUAUUAAAAUCAAUAUAUAUAUAUAUAUAUAUAUAAAUAUAUNNNNNNNNNNNNNNNNNNNNNNNNNNNNNNNNNNNNNNNNNNNNNNNNNNNNNNNNNNNNNNNNNNNNNNNNNNNNNNNNNNNNNNNNNNNNNNNNNNNNNNNNNNNNNNNNNNNNNNNNNNNNNNNNNNNNNNNNNNNNNNNNNNNNNNNNNNNNNNNNNNNNNNNNNNNNNNNNNNNNNNNNNNNNNNNNNNNNNNNNNNNNNNNNNNNNNNNNNNNNNNNNNNNNNNNNNNNNNNNNNNNNNNNNNNNNNNNNNNNNNNNNNNNNNNNNNNNNNNNAGAGAGAGAGAGAGAGAGAGAGAGAGAGAGAGAGAGAGUGUCCGGCUAUGGUGCUUAUAAAAGCACCAACCACUUGAUGCUUAUAAAUUUUUUACCGUUAGAUUUACAUCUUGAUCAUUUUCACCCGUUAGAUUAGUAUAAUACCAACCACCCACUCAACCCUAGGGAGCCCACAUCAUCCUAACCGCACAUCCCUUAAGACAAUAGCCAAAAAUCUACAAACACUAAUAACUUGGUACUUUUAAAAGCAUCCUAAUGGCACAUCCCUCAAUCCAAUGGCCGAAAAUCUAUAAACACCAAUAACUUGAUACUUUUAAAAGCAUAGGAGCUCAAUUAUAUAUAUAUAUAUAUAUAUAUAUAUAUAUAUAUAUAUAUAUAUAUAUAUAUAUAUAUAUAUAUAUAUAGANAUUGUAGGGUUAGGAUGAUAUUAGUCAGUUAGAGUUAAGUGGUCCCCCUAGGGUUGAGUGGUCCUCACUGGGUUAUAGUAUUUAAUCCAAUGGUUAGAAAUAAUGAAAAGAGUUGAUCCAAAAGCUAAAAAACUGGUAGCAACAAUGGGAUUUUGCUACUAAUAGUAGCCCAGUCCAACUCUAUAUAUAUGUAUGUAUAUGUAUGUAUAUGUAUAUGUAUAUGUAUAUAUAUGUAUAUGUAUAUGUAUAUAUAUGUAUAUGUAUAUAUAUAUAUAUAUAUAUAUAUAGCAACAAUGGGAUUUGCUACUAAUAGUAGCCCAGUCCAACUCUAUUUAUAUAUGUAUAUGUAUAUGCUAUUAUGAGUAUUUUAGAGCCUUCGUACUCAUAAGUUGUUUUCAAUGAUGGAGCUUCCGAAUCGACGAUCCACUCCGUUAAAUAUGAUCUAGAGUAUUUGAAACUUCUAGAAAAUAAAUUUCGUAAAUUUUCGAAAUCAUAAUAAAGUCCAUUAAGUGGGCAUAAAAUGAACGGUCAAAAUCGAACGACGUCCUAAAAAAN